rnacentral:lncRNA from 10 species
AUUUCUGCAUCCUCUCAGUCAUGAUGAUAAAGGAUUUACUACCUCAGUCAUGUCACCACUCUUGAAUAUCAUUCCCAUGGCAUGGUGCAGUAGGAACUGCCAUUCUGGGCCUGGCGCGGUGGCUCACGCCUGUAAUCCCAGCACUUUGGGAGGCCAAGGUGGGUGGAUUGCCUGAGAUCAGGAGCUCCAGACCAGUCUGGCCAACACGGUGAAACCCCAUCUCUACUAAAAAUACAAAAAAAUUAGCCGGACGUGGUGGCAUGAGCCUGUAAUCCCAGCUACUCGGGAGGCUGAG